rfam:Triticum urartu cultivar G1812 contig1149164, whole genome shotgun sequence.
CAAGUACUCCCUCUGUCCGAAAAUACUUGUCAUCAAAAUGGAUAAAAAUAUGUAUCUAGAACUAAUAUACAUUUAGAUACAUGCCCUUUUAUUCAUUUUGAUGACAAGUAUUUCCGGACGGAGGGAGUACUAC